CAGGUCCACUCUCCACUCUCAUUUACACGCCAGAAUCUUUCCUUUUUCUUUUUUAAUUUUAUUUCAACACCAUCCACUUUUUUGGCAUGGCCCGGUACAUUGGUCUUGUGGGCAUCAAACGCUUUUUUUUAAAACUAAAGAUCGGUUUUACUUAUAUAUUGAUCUUAAAAAUAAUUUAAACAUAUUUUGUAUAUUUUUAAAUAAAAUAACAAUUAUAAAACAAUUAUUUUAACAAUAACAAACAUCUUUCCAACCGAAUAAUUUUUUUUUUUUUAAAAAAAAAGCAUAUCGAAAGCAAUUUGUGAGCUUGCUUUCUUUGCCUAUAUUAACACCAUCUAGAAAGCCCUUAUCUUCAACCUGUUCCUUUCUGUGGUUUGAUAGAUGAGAGAAACAGAAAGUCGUAGCAAGUCUUUGGAGAUGGGAGAGCAUGCAAGAGGGAGACACUCAUGAUUUAAUAUAUUCUUUCUUGCCUACUCCUCCCAUUCCAUCUGCUUUCUGCGACUCCUCUCUUUCCUUAUUCUACGCAAAAGCUUGAUCUUAAAAUUAAUGAAGGAGCGAGAGGGAAAGGCAAGAGGGUUGCUGGGAGUUACGGGUAUGGGAGGAUUGGACAGUAUGGUUUGGUUUUAAGUAACCAGAGUCUAUUCUUUCCAACGCCUCCCAUACCAGUGAUCUCCAGCUGCUUCCUCCCUUUCCCUAGCUUGUCCUGCUUCCGAUCCUCCAGUUUGGUAAGAUCUGUCCUUGUAUGCUUGUCGUUCGUCACAUGAUGAUGAUGGUGAUGAUGCGUGUUCUUCUUUUUCAUAUUGACUGGUUUAUUUUGCUCUUACGCGGGAUAUUGUUAUAUGUCUUGUAUAAUGAUUUUAUUUGCCCCUUCUUUAUGAUCGGCUGACAAAAGGGAGUUGUUGGUUAUGGAAUAUCGUUGAAAAGACGAGAGGAAGUUUUGAUCUGCUGGUAGAUCUGAGCAAAUCAUUUGUCAAUCUAGCUAUAUUUAGUGUUAGCAACUGAUAAAUCAUGUGUUUUGAAAUGACAGCAGUGAUAUUCACGACAUAUCUGAUAGGGCCUCCUCGAUUCCGGGGAUGUUGUCUCAGUUUCUUACCGCAGUGCUUAGCUCCGAUGUUCCGUGGUUGGUUAUUUGAAUUUGGAAUUUAUUUCGAGCAGUUGUCCACGCGUUUCGUUUAUCAUGGAUGACCCCAACAUGAGUCAUCCACCCGUCGCAUACGGGUGUGGUCAGCUUUGUUU
rnacentral:sRNA from 1 species